CCUGGCUGGGGGUGGGGCCUGGAACCGGGAGCGCUGGUCAGCCGAGCCGGAGCGGCCGCGGGGGAAGAGCGUCGCGGGCGGCCUAGAGGAGGUGAACGUGAGGUGAGGCUAGGCGGGCGGAGGUGGACGUGAGGCGAAGUGAGACGAGGGCGUGCGGGGCCCCGCCGGAGGAUGUGCGGCCGAACCUCCUGUCACCUGCCCAUAGAUGUGCUCGCGAGAGCGUGUGCCUAUCGGGACCGGCAGGGCCGGGAGCGGCUCCCCGAGUGGAAGGACCCCGACAAGUACUGCCCCUCUUACAACACGAGCCCUCAGUCGAACAGCCCCGUGCUCUUGUCACGUCUGCACUUUGAGAAGGGUGCAGACCCAUCUGAGCGUAUCAUUGCUCCCAUGCGAUGGGGCUUGGUCCCAUCUUGGUUCAAAGAGGAUGAUCCUUCCAAACUUCAGUUCAACACUACCAACUGUCGUAGUGAUACCAUAAUGGAGAAACGGUCCUUCAAGGUCCCUCUUGGAAAGGGAAGACGCUGUGUCGUCUUAGCAGAUGGAUUCUAUGAGUGGCAGAGACGUCAGGGAACAAGCCACAAGCAGCCGUACUUCAUCUAUUUUCCCCAAGCCAAAACAGAAGAGUCAGGUAGCACUGAUGUUGUAGAGAGUCCUGAGCACUGGAAGAAAGUCUGGAACAACUGGAGGCUGCUGACAAUGGCGGGGAUCUUUGACUGCUGGGAGCCCCCAGAAGGAGGAGACCUCCUGUAUUCCUACACCAUCAUCACAGUAGAUUCCUGCAAAAGCUUGAAUGACAUUCACCCUAGGAUGCCUGCCAUAUUAGAUGGAGAGGAGGAAGUCUCUAAAUGGCUUGACUUUGGUGAGGUCUCAACUCAGGAAGCUCUGAAGUUAAUCCACCCCACAGAGAAUAUCACCUUCCAUGCAGUCUCUUCCGUGGUGAACGACUCCGGGAACAAUACUCCUGAAUGUGUGACUCCUAUCAGCCUACUGGUCAAAAAGGGUGGGCCGCAAGGUGGAUUCUGGCCAGAUUUGGAAGGAAGCCAUCGUUGUGGUUGCUGAUCUGCUGAUUUACCUCCUUGGUGUGAGGCAGCACCAAUGACGACUUUCCCUGGAUUCUCCUUCGGUCUUGCUGACUCAGGGGUGUGCAUGGUUAACUCUGACAAAGGGUCUCAGCUUCCACAGGGUACCGUCAUCGCCUAGGUCAGAGGCACCGGGAACCAACACAACAAGUUGGUCUGUCCUGGCGUUCCAGCUUGUGCGGAUUCAGCCUGCUCACGAGCUUCCCCUCCUGCCUGGGCACCUCCGGCUCCAGCCUCUGUCACGGUGAUCCAGCCUCCUGGAAACUGUUUCAUCGGCCCCACAAGUGUGCAAGCCAGUUCCCUGUAACCGAUCCGGUGUAUGGGUGUGUCAGUGCCACUAGCCCUCCGGUUCUGCUUCCCCACCGAAUUCUGACUGAGCGGGGACCCUGAAGCCCUGCUGACUCCUGCCUCGUGCCUGUCAGUGUACCUGCUGCUUUCACCGUUCCCCAGACUCAGGAGCUUUUGUCACACUGGGGGCCUGUGUCAUUGCUGCUCCCGCCUGGACUGUCGAUCCCCCAGAGCUGCCAGUUUGUGUGUCCUGUGCAUCCUCCUCAAGAACAGGAAGCAGAUCCCUGCCUCCUCAGCCAGUGUGUGCUCAAUGAGUGACCAUGGACUAGGCCAUACGAAAGACCCCAGGGCCUCUUUGUUGCCUCAGGACUAAUGGAGCUGCUAGUACAGCUAAUGGGCCCUCUGGCUGUGUCACCCGAAGUCUGAUGCCUGGGACAGAGGGAUGGCAGCACCCCUCCACCCCCGACCUUGUGCUGAGUGCUCAAGCCCCUCACCCCCAUCAGGUUCUGUGCUCAGUACUAAGCCUUGCCCUGGCAGAGGGACAGAUUCAGCUAGGUUGUUCAGUCAGUGGAGACCCCAUCCUGUGGUCACUAAGGCCUGCGCUGCCUGCAAAGGGGCCUUUCCAGUGUCUUCAAGGCUGUCCUGGGCCCAGGGAGAAGUUGCAUCUAGGGACCCAGAAGGCAGACCUGAGUACCACCCCCUCCGCCUGAGGAGAUAAAAGGGAGGCAGGUCCCAGCCCCACGAGAGGAAGAAGGGAGGGAAAUCCUGGAGACCCCGGCCAUAGGCAGUGUGUUUGGACCCCCUGGUUAACAGAUGGGCGAAGUCCUCCGCAGAGGCUCGUGCAAGUCUGGCGGCCCUGAGCUGGGUGGGGUCCAGUGUCGCGGGUGAGGAGGAGGCGCCGGACGGUCUUUCUUGAAGCCAAAGAAGCCUCUGCUUGGGGAAGCUGAGACCAUGGGGAGACACCCAGAGAGGAGAGCUGAUCCCUUUGGGGUUCCGGAAAUGCAAAGUGUGUGCAGGCUGGGCUGCUUGGAGGAUGCAGUGCAGUGACCGAGAAGCAGGAAGACGGAGCUGCUGCGGCCCCCUGAGGAGUGUCUGUCCAGGAACAGGAGCCAUCCAAGAAUGAGCAGAGGGCACGCCGGGGGAGGUGGGCAUGGCGGCCCUACCCGGUGGCCCAGGGUACAUGGAGAUGGGGCAGGAACAGGGACACCGGAAAGAGAGCCGGCCCAAGGAAAUCAGGUGGAGGGGGGUAGCCAGGUGCCUAGCCUAGAGAGGCUCGAGCUUGGGGCUCUAAAGGUCAGAGCAAGAGCAGAGGGUGACGCCCCUGGUGGAACCCCGGCAUGGGCCGCAGGGACAUCCUCAGACUGAAAUUUGCCCAGCCAUUCCAGGAGAGAAGGUUGCUGGAAAUGUGAAUCUGGAGCAGGCUGGGUCAGGGGUGUCUUCCCUAGGGUCAUCGCGCAGGGAAAAGGAGGAUGUGGAAAUGGUAGAAAAGGGAGGGGUGCUCCACUGGAGACAGAGGAAGAACGGUCAGAGAGGGAGGAGGAAACCAGGUGUGGCAGGUGUCACGGAAGCUAAGGAAGAGAGAGUUUCAAGAAACAAGGGCUGGUCGGUCACCGUGCAGCCCCUUCAGAAAGUGGAUCAGUCUAUCAGAAUGGACGGGUGAGCUUCCGGCCCUUGAGACCCCCUGGCUGGAAUCUGCCUGGUUUGCCCCGUGGUUUUUAAAAGACCAGGAUUAAAAAAAUCAGGUGAUUUCGGGUAAAAAUGUGUCCAGACUUCAGCUUUCCCUUCAAAAAAUCUGAGGACUCACCCUGGGUGGGGGCAGAAAGAACAGGGCCUGAGUUAACAGUUUUUCUGCUAGAUGGGCUAGACCCCCAACACCUGGUCAGUUUAGGGAGUGUGGGCAGUGUGGGGCAGAGGGAAGGUUCUCCAGCCCUGGGGGAGGCCUGGCCAGGGUUGGAGGGGAGAAGGAACCAGUGGAGGGAGUGAAUACAUACAGGCAGGGCAGUGUGGCCCAGGCGGUGGGGAGGGUGCAGAAGGCACGGCUCAGAGUCCACACCGGCCCUAGUGGGCUCCUUGGCCUGCUGGUGGAGCAGGUGCUUGUGUGGGGGAGGGGAGCACUGCCUGUGGACCUGUAGACCAGGGCUCUGGGAGACUAAUAAUUCUAGGGCUUUGGGAACUGCCAGAGACGCAAGUGGUUUCAUCCCACUGGCCUCGUUAUACAGAUGAGGACACUGAGGCCUGGGGCUAACUGGAUGUCCAUUUAGCCAGGAUUCUAGGCCUGUGGUGCUGCCAGCCUUCAGGGAUGCUUCUCAAACCCCAUACCUCCCAAACAGCUCCCCACCCCCAUCACCCCUCUAUGGAAACGUAGGUGGGGAAGGCCUCAAGCAAACCAAUGAAACAUGACAAAAUUUGGAAAAAGAAACAUAUGGAAGUGGCCAGGGCCCCUCUCUCUCUCUCUCUCUCUCUCUCUCUCUCUAGUUGAGCUCAUCCAAUCCUGGAGCUCCAAACACCAUCCAUACCCUGCUGACCCCCGUUUCUGUCAGCCCUCAUUUCUGUCUCUCUCCUGACCAAAGGACUCUGGCAUCCAGCCGCCUGCCGCGGCCUCCACUGGGAUGUCCAGACACAUCUCUUCUGCGUCCUGGCUAAAACAGAACUCGGUUUUUUUCUCUUGCAAACCUGCUCCUCUCCCCAAGGUUCCCAGGCAGUCCUAGCCCCAAAGCAUAGACUCGCCCUGUUUUUUUUUUUUUCCCUCUACCCUCUCAUUCACCCCAUAGUUUCCUGUUACAGCUACCCCCAAACAGGUUCCUUCCCAAGCCCACCCCCACGCUCUCCAGUCCUCUCCAUUCAGCAGCAGGCAGAGCAGCUGAUGUGAAGUCUGAUCCCCUGCUUCCCACCUCUGUUGAGAAGGCCUCCAGUGGCUUUUCAUCAGACUUAAGACUUGAGUCUGCACUCAGCCACACUGGCCUUUUUUUUUUUUUUUUUUUAAUGUUUAUUUUUUUGAGAGAGACAGUGUGAGCCAGGGAGGGGCAGAGAGAGAGAGAGAGAGAGGGAGACACAGAAUCUGAAGCAGGCUCCAGUCUCUGAGCUGUCAGCACAAAGCCUGACGCGGGGCUUGAACUCACGAACUGGGAGAUCAUGACCGGAGCUGAAGUCGGAUGCUUAACCCACUGAGCCACCCAGGCGCCCCUACACUGGGCCUUUGUGUUCCUCACACAGACCCAGGGGACUCCCACCUCAGGGCCUUUGAACUUGCUGUGCUGCUGACUGCCUUUAUUUCGAUUGCAAUCCAUGGAUACCCUCCUCUUCAGGGCAGCCUCCGCGCCAGCCUGGCUGAAGUACCUGUAUCACAUCAUCCUGCUUUAUCAUCCUCUGAUCAUGUGCUUACCAUCAUCAUCUGACCCUAUUCUUAUUUGCUUGUGUAAAACUGUAAGAACAGAGUGGGGCCUGCCUUGCUCCCUGCCAGAUCCUAGCCCUGGCCACACCCUGCCUGCUGGGUACCCCUGUUCAUUGCUGUCUGUACUGCAGCCAACGGGGAGAUGGACCGGAGCCAUGAGCUCCUGGUUUGACCUGGACCCUGGGCACUCCCCCAGACCUCUUGUGCCACCCACGGCCCCCCACCCCCCACUGCUCUGCCUCGGUUCCCCAGUUUGUGAAAAAGGGUUGGAUGUGUGCAGUUUGAACGACCCUCCUCCAGCUUUGGCAGUCUGAGUCUGGACAGCCAAACCGAGAUGUCCUCAAGAGAAGGGAGGACCCAGAAGAACACAGCCUGCCUGGAGGAUGGGACAUAAAACGGAGAUCUUGGUGUCAGCAGAGGAGUCUGCUGGGCCUGAUGGCAAGUCUGGGUCUAGGAUGCAAAACCCCGGGCUCUGGGCAGGUUCCCUCCUGUGCUUCUGUCAGCCUCAGUGUCAUCUGUAAAAGGGGUACACACACUAGAGCUCGGAUGGAGGCACCUUCCCCUGGGAGGGUUUCAGAAGACCUGCGUGGGAGUCACCAGCCUCAGGGAUGGGGUUCAGAGACCCUGCCCCCUGAGGGCCCUUCACCCGGAAAGGCCUCAUUGGCUUGAGCCGGCUGCAGAGAGUUAACAGUUGAAGGCCAAAGAAUCGGUCUCCCCAAAAAGGGUUUUUAACUGAGAGGUUGGCUCCAGCCUAGGCCUGGGCUGGGAGGGAGGGUGGCUGGGCCCAGUUUGGGAUUUUAAAUGUAAAUAGAGAGGCAUUAAGUACUUUUCAGCAUUUAAGUGGAGACAAAGGGAAAUUCACCAGGCGAGACGGUGGGGAAGGUUGCCUUUAAGAUGCAAAUGUGUAUUGUGAAACCCUGAAUGGGGACGUUGUUCGGGGCCCUGGCCCCUAGCCCCUUGUGGCCGGGCAGUGGGCUCCGAGGGGUCCGUGGGUCAGACGAACCCGGGCAGAGUGGCCAGAGAUCAAAGGAGUGGACAAGUCGCUGCUGACGCUGAAAGGGUGCGAAACGUGGGGACCGAGAGAGCUUGGAGUUCCCGGAGGCCCCGCUUGCAGGGAGCCUGCUGGCCCCCCAGGCCCCAGUGGGGCGUAAAGGAAGAGCCGGGUGGAAUGGGAUAGGCCAGGGGGCAGGCUCUGAAGUGCAGGUGGCCCAUGCUUAGGGCACCGGCAAAGCAUGAGCCCCACGAAGGGUUCUAAUGCAGUACGCAUUGUUUUAAGAAUGGAGGUAAGUAGUUCUCGUGGAAGAAACCAGACCUUCGUGGAACUUCACACAGCUUCGUGCCGUUUUCAUUCGGAAUGGCAUUAAGGGAGAAGGGAUGGCAGGACCGCGUGCACACGUCUGCAUUUGGCCUUUAGGGGAGCCUUCACCCCAGGCACCUGCGGACCAUGGGUGUCGAGUAAGAAUCCCCAACCACUAGAGAUAAGGCCGCGAGGGUGAAAGAAUUGAGGGUGAUGGGAGAUUUGAACCUGUCUCCAGGAGCCAGCCGCCCCCUCCGUCCGUCCUCCAAAAGCAGGAAGGCUGCGGGACCCAGCAGCGGGCACAGGAGGAAAGGGGGGUGGGGGCCCAGCCUGCCCCGGCGCUGCCAGCAAUCUCGCUGCCCUUCCCCAGGCCGCCUUGCCCCUCCCCCCAGUUCUUUAAAAGCUGUUAGUUUUUUCUCAAUAAAGUUGUUCGUGGUAUAAAACCCAA